CAGCUCUCCGAGUGGUAGGGAUGAUUAUUGGGCUUAAAGCGUCCGUAGCCUGCUUAGCAAGUCUCCUGUUAAAUUCAGCGACCUAAUCGUUGAGCCGCGGGAGAUACUACUAAGCUAGGAGGCGGGAGAGGCCGACGGUACUUCCGGGGUAGGGGUGAAAUCCUAUAAUCCCGGGCGGACCACCAGUGGCGAAGGCUGUCGGCUAGAACGCGCUCGACGGUGAGGGACGAAAGCUGGGGGAGCGAACCGGAUUAGAUACCCGAGUAGUCC
rnacentral:rRNA from 1 species